rnacentral:rRNA from 1 species
UUAAGCGACUAAGCGUACACGGUGGAUGCCCUGGCAGUCAGAGGCGAUGAAGGACGUGCUAAUCUGCGAUAAGCGUCGGUAAGGUGAUAUGAACCGUUAUAACCGGCGAUUUCCGAAUGGGGAAACCCAGUGUGAUUCGUCACACUAUCAUUAACUGAAUCCAUAGGUUAAUGAGGCGAACCGGGGGAACUGAAACAUCUAAGUACCCCGAGGAAAAGAAAUCAACCGAGAUUCCCCCAGUAGCGGCGAGCGAACGGGGAGCAGCCCAGAGCCUGAAUCAGUGUGUGUGUUAGUGGAAGCGUCUGGAAAGGCGCGCGAUACAGGGUGACAGCCCCGUACACAAAAAUGCACAUGCUGUGAGCUCGAUGAGUAGGGCGGGACACGUGGUAUCCUGUCUGAAUAUGGGGGGACCAUCCUCCAAGGCUAAAUACUCCUGACUGACCGAUAGUGAACCAGUACCGUGAGGGAAAGGCGAAAAGAACCCCGGCGAGGGGAGUGAAAAAGAACCUGAAACCGUGUACGUACAAGCAGUGGGAGCACGCUUAGGCGUGUGACUGCGUACCUUUUGUAUAAUGGGUCAGCGACUUAUAUUCUGUAGCAAGGUUAACCGAAUAGGGGAGCCGAAGGGAAACCGAGUCUUAACUGGGCGUUAAGUUGCAGGGUAUAGACCCGAAACCCGGUGAUCUAGCCAUGGGCAGGUUGAAGGUUGGGUAACACUAACUGGAGGACCGAACCGACUAAUGUUGAAAAAUUAGCGGAUGACUUGUGGCUGGGGGUGAAAGGCCAAUCAAACCGGGAGAUAGCUGGUUCUCCCCGAAAGCUAUUUAGGUAGCGCCUCGUGAAUUCAUCUCCGGGGGUAGAGCACUGUUUCGGCAAGGGGGUCAUCCCGACUUACCAACCCGAUGCAAACUGCGAAUACCGGAGAAUGUUAUCACGGGAGACACACGGCGGGUGCUAACGUCCGUCGUGAAGAGGGAAACAACCCAGACCGCCAGCUAAGGUCCCAAAGUCAUGGUUAAGUGGGAAACGAUGUGGGAAGGCCCAGACAGCCAGGAUGUUGGCUUAGAAGCAGCCAUCAUUUAAAGAAAGCGUAAUAGCUCACUGGUCGAGUCGGCCUGCGCGGAAGAUGUAACGGGGCUAAACCAUGCACCGAAGCUGCGGCAGCGACGCUUAUGCGUUGUUGGGUAGGGGAGCGUUCUGUAAGCCUGUGAAGGUGUACUGUGAGGUAUGCUGGAGGUAUCAGAAGUGCGAAUGCUGACAUAAGUAACGAUAAAGCGGGUGAAAAGCCCGCUCGCCGGAAGACCAAGGGUUCCUGUCCAACGUUAAUCGGGGCAGGGUGAGUCGACCCCUAAGGCGAGGCCGAAAGGCGUAGUCGAUGGGAAACAGGUUAAUAUUCCUGUACUUGGUGUUACUGCGAAGGGGGGACGGAGAAGGCUAUGUUGGCCGGGCGACGGUUGUCCCGGUUUAAGCGUGUAGGCUGGUUUUCCAGGCAAAUCCGGAAAAUCAAGGCCGAGGCGUGAUGACGAGGCACUACGGUGCUGAAGCAACAAAUGCCCUGCUUCCAGGAAAAGCCUCUAAGCAUCAGGUAACAUCAAAUCGUACCCCAAACCGACACAGGUGGUCAGGUAGAGAAUACCAAGGCGCUUGAGAGAACUCGGGUGAAGGAACUAGGCAAAAUGGUGCCGUAACUUCGGGAGAAGGCACGCUGAUACGUAGGUGAAGCGACUUGCUCGUGGAGCUGAAAUCAGUCGAAGAUACCAGCUGGCUGCAACUGUUUAUUAAAAACACAGCACUGUGCAAACACGAAAGUGGACGUAUACGGUGUGACGCCUGCCCGGUGCCGGAAGGUUAAUUGAUGGGGUUAGCGCAAGCGAAGCUCUUGAUCGAAGCCCCGGUAAACGGCGGCCGUAACUAUAACGGUCCUAAGGUAGCGAAAUUCCUUGUCGGGUAAGUUCCGACCUGCACGAAUGGCGUAAUGAUGGCCAGGCUGUCUCCACCCGAGACUCAGUGAAAUUGAACUCGCUGUGAAGAUGCAGUGUACCCGCGGCAAGACGGAAAGACCCCGUGAACCUUUACUAUAGCUUGACACUGAACAUUGAGCCUUGAUGUGUAGGAUAGGUGGGAGGCUUUGAAGUGUGGACGCCAGUCUGCAUGGAGCCGACCUUGAAAUACCACCCUUUAAUGUUUGAUGUUCUAACGUGGACCCGUGAUCCGGGUUGCGGACAGUGUCUGGUGGGUAGUUUGACUGGGGCGGUCUCCUCCUAAAGAGUAACGGAGGAGCACGAAGGUUGGCUAAUCCUGGUCGGACAUCAGGAGGUUAGUGCAAUGGCAUAAGCCAGCUUGACUGCGAGCGUGACGGCGCGAGCAGGUGCGAAAGCAGGUCAUAGUGAUCCGGUGGUUCUGAAUGGAAGGGCCAUCGCUCAACGGAUAAAAGGUACUCCGGGGAUAACAGGCUGAUACCGCCCAAGAGUUCAUAUCGACGGCGGUGUUUGGCACCUCGAUGUCGGCUCAUCACAUCCUGGGGCUGAAGUAGGUCCCAAGGGUAUGGCUGUUCGCCAUUUAAAGUGGUACGCGAGCUGGGUUUAGAACGUCGUGAGACAGUUCGGUCCCUAUCUGCCGUGGGCGCUGGAGAACUGAGGGGGGCUGCUCCUAGUACGAGAGGACCGGAGUGGACGCAUCACUGGUGUUCGGGUUGUCAUGCCAAUGGCACUGCCCGGUAGCUAAAUGCGGAAGAGAUAAGUGCUGAAAGCAUCUAAGCACGAAACUUGCCCCGAGAUGAGUUCUCCCUGACCCUUUAAGGGUCCUGAAGGAACGUUGAAGACGACGACGUUGAUAGGCCGGGUGUGUAAGCGCAGCGAUGCGUUGAGCUAACCGGUACUAAUGAACCGUGAGGCUUAACCUU